rnacentral:rRNA from 1 species
AAUACGUUCCCGGGCCUUGUACACACCGCCCGUCACACCACGAAAGUCGGCAACACCCGAAGCCGGUGGCCUAACCCGUAAGGGGAAGAGCCGUCGAAGGUGGGGUCGGUGAUUGGGGUG